rnacentral:rRNA from 1 species
AUUGAACGCUGGCGGCAGGCCUAACACAUGCAAGUCGAGCGGAUGACGGGAGCUUGCUCCUUGAUUCAGCGGCGGACGGGUGAGUAAUGCCUAGGAAUCUGCCUGGUAGUGGGGGACAACGUUUCGAAAGGAACGCUCAUACCGCAUACGUCCUACGGGAGAAAGCAGGGGACCUUCGGGCCUUGCGCUAUCAGAUGAGCCUAGUUCGGAUUAGCUAGUUGGUGGGGUAAUGGCUCACCAAGGCGACGAUCCGUAACUGGUCUGAGAGGAUGAUCAGUCACACUGGAACUGAGACACGGUCCAGACUCCUACGGGAGGCAGCAGUGGGGAAUAUUGGACAAUGGGCGAAAGCCUGAUCCAGCCAUGCCGCGUGUGUGAAGAAGGUCUUCGGAUUGUAAAGCACUUUAAGUUGGGAGGAAGGGCAGUAAGUUAAUACCUUGCUGUUUUGACGUUACCGACAGAAUAAGCACCGGCUAACUCUGUGCCAGCCGCCGCAGUAACAC